GGGAAGAUGGCCGAGUGGUUAAGGCGCUGUGUUUAGGCCGCAGUGCGAAAGCGCGUGAGUUCGAAUCUCACUCUUCUCA
rnacentral:tRNA from 1 species